ensembl:lncRNA
GGAAUUCCAAGGUCACAGCCUGAACCAACACAUGAGCACAUAAGUGCCUGUAGUGGGGGUGUAGGGGGUAGAGCCACCCUUUCUGUCUCAGUGAUGUUUCCAGGAGUGUGUGUGCAGUCUGAGUCUGCGUGAGUUCCCCUUCCCCCACCGUUCUCCUGCGGCGUGAGAGUACGAAUGGGAGAAGGCUGCAUUCCUCAGCUCGCCUCUUUCUCCAAACUGUUGCUGGGAGGGGUGAGUUAAUCCCUCUUUGAUAUCUUUUCCUAUAGCGCCUAUUUCUCAAAUAAAGGCUCUGUCAUCGCCUUUGUUUGCUCUACAUCUUGGUGAGAAAGGCAGGAGCAACAUCACUCCAGCAUGCUCUAGUCCAUGAGGAAAUAUCAUGACACCCUGUGGUGCACUGCUGAACUUUUGGGAACUGGCAAGCCUGAAUCAGAAGUGCUACUGGUCCAUGAAGAUAUGCCUCUAGAAAGAAUAUCAAGUACUGGCCCAACAGAACCGUGGAAAAGACUGCCUAUAAUUGCCUUUAUUGCCUUAACAUUCUGCACUGUGGUGGGUAUUGUACAUGCAUCGUGAAGUACAUUGUAUUUUGAGCCACCAAACUGCAGGAGCUCGCUUCCUACCUGCUCAGUCAUUGGUUCAUGCUGUGAAGGGGUUGGAGUGUAGUGGAUUUCCUAGGUCACAGUCUGAACCAAUGGGUGAGCACGUGAGUGCCUGGAGCGGGGGGGGGGGGCUAGAGUCACCCCUUCUGUCUCAGGGAUGCUUCUUGGAGCGCGUGUGCAGUCUGAGCCUGCGUGCGUUCCCUUUCCCCCGCCCUUCUGCAGCGCAAGAAUGCGAACAGGAGAAGGCUGCGUUCCUCAGCUCGCCCCUUUUUCCAAACUGUUUUUUGGAGGGUGGUAGAGCUGGUUAAAAACACCAUCUGCUCUCAUAAAUGCCUGGACUGUGUUUAGCCACACUAUUCAAAAACUUGAGAAUAGCUACUGAAAGCUGGAGAUGAACCCUUGAAGUACACUGGAUGACAUCCGAACACAUCCAACAGUUAAGUGAAGGACCAAGUACUAUAAAAAGUCAAGGGUCACAGCCUGAACCAAUGGGUGGGCUCUGUGAGUGUGUGAGUGCGGCGGCGCAGUGGUACGAGCGGGGGAGGGACACAUUCCUCAGCUCGGCUCUGCCUGCGUGCUGCUACCGGGAGGGGUGAGUCGAUUCUUUUUGAUAUCUUUCCCUCGUGUGCCUAUUUCUUAAAUAAAGGCUUUGUCAUUACCUUCAUUUGCUCUACAGCUACAUAUUACCUACAAAAAAUAAUCCACAGAAAGGAGAUCAGUGACUCUUUCCCAUGGCCUGAGGAAGCUCUUGGAAUUAUAUGGACAGAAGUAGAAGAGAGUCACUUCCUUGGCCUGUCCUAUAGCCACAGAGACUCCUGUUGCAUUUUCCAAGCUGCAAACUAAGGACUAAGCAACCUCUGCCCUUCCUGCAGCCAGCACUCCCCUGAUGUAGUCCAGUGUGUGUACAGGGAACCUUGGACAGCUCUUAGCUCUCUCACCCACUGCUCCUUUCUGUACUCAGCCCAAACACAGAAACCAGAUCACACAAGUUUUCAGACCACAGAUCACAUGUUCUAGCUCUUUUGUACAACACAUGUCCAGAGACAGUUUAAUAAUACUUUCAUCAGAGACUUACAGGCACUUACAUAAAUGGUUCAGCUUUCUCAGCUGUAGGCACCAUUUUUGACAGAACUCAUCUUAGUAUAUUCACAUGAAAUACAGAAAUGAGUUGAAGUAUUUGUGUCUUUAAAAUGAGGAGAAGAAAAAGCCAGUCUGAACUCAAAUACCUUGGCUUACCAAUAUCACAUUUUUUUUUAACUAUUUACAGACAUUUUAAAAACACUACUUACAUGCCCCAAAAUGAUGCUUUUAAACAUAAUUCCAACUACAGUUAGCUCAAAUUAUCUAAGCUUUUUUUUCCCCCGAGUAUAGCAAAGUAAUGCCUCUCAAAUUUAAUUUACAUAAUAAUUAAGCUAGAUUUCUCUGAAGACUCAUACAAUAUAAUCCCUAUUUUAUCAAUAAAUAGAUGGUUGUUGCAUAUUUUACAAUUUAUACAGAAUUGUAUGGAAUGUACUAAAGGAUAUUAACUAUGGCAUCACUUACUGACCACAUCAUACAAAUAUCACUUGUGGGUUAGAGCUCAUGAGAUUUUAAGGAGUUUUUAAAAACAUUUAUCAAUAAAUAAACAAAAUACUUUUUAUGGAGUCUGAAAAUUAAGAAAUUGAGAUUGAGGAUGUGGUGCAUCAGGAAUUAUGAUACAGGAUACAAAAUCAUUCUUCCAUUGAAUGCCACUGAUCUGACAGUUUUUUAUAAUGCAGAAAAUAGCUUUUGUACCUGAAACUUGUCAAUGCCAUCAACAGAGACAAGUGAGGCGUUAUCAGAUGGACAUAGCAUGGAAUGCCUUUUCUGUUUAAGGUCUAAGGAUACAGUUUGCACAUGGAAGCCUAUCAGUAAUUGUAGCUGUGGAACUAUUCAUUUCACAGGUUACAUUGGUACUGCUCAAAAUUAUCUCAUCCCAAUGUUUUCCUACAGUCAGUGAAAAUCAUAGCCUGAAACAAUUUAAACCUUUUGAGGGAAACAACAACAAAGUACAACAGAAUAACCCCCCUCUAACCUACCUCAACUCUUUCACCCAUAUGAAUGAGUAGAGUAUUUGCUAUGAGCAUAUUACAGUUCAAAGGAGUUUUUUUCUUCAGAAUUAUCCAUCAUCAACAUUUCACUAAUUUGCACAAUCAUCCUAACUCCAUAAGCAUACUCCUCCUGGUGCAGAGACAAAUUCAGACAAAGGAGAUCACCUUCAAAAACCAUUAAAAAAUUGGGGAGAUGAGUCAACAUUUGUAUAUUUUUGAUCUUUCUAUAAUUUUAGAUUAAAGAGGACUGUUUAUUUCCACACAAAAUUGAGAUCACUGGUCUGACUGGUUUCACAGAGCGUUUCAGAUAAACUACAUUUUCUUUACACUACAUGCUACAGCUUCCUUUGGUGGGGAGAAAAACAGAAUGACAGUAGUGAAGGGAACACAGCCCAUAUUCCAGUCUGAUACAUUACUAAGCCACACUUCCACUGUUUGCAAUAUUAUUAGAAGUGCUGUUUCGCACAGUCACUGGUGCCAGAGGACUCAAAAUCAAAUCUGAAGUCAUUAUAUAAAAAUGAUACUGCAGAACUCAAUUUUAACUUCAUUAAAGUAACAAAAUAGCUGACAAAUGGAGCCAUCCACUCUGAUGUGUCUCAGCUUCAAAUAACGCAUAAAACAAUUGGAAACUCAGCCUUAGGGCUGCUGCUGCUGCUUUAAAGUAGUCAGUAGUACUGACAGAGUUAAAAACACUGAAAUGUAACACUACAGAAUUAAAAAGUUAACAAUAAGUCAUGAACCUAACUAAAAUGCAGGUUGAAGUCAAAAGAACAUGAUUAAGACUACAUGGAACCUUGAGCAGUGUUUGAAAGGGAAAGAUGAAGUCUUUUGUUAGGACAGCACAAAGCAAGGACAGCACAGCGUCCCCAGAAGGAUUACACAGCCCUGAAUGAUUUCAGGAAGUUAUGAAAUAAUUUUAGCAAAGAACAACACACAGCACAUACAUUUAAUAAAUUUUCAUCAACUGGCAAACUAUAACAUUAUCAACCUGUUUUUUCUACCCAUUUAUAAAACUGAUCAAACCCACUUCAGAGCAUGUACAUCCUAAAAUCUGCUGUGGCAUAUAUCUUAUUUCUGCAUCCUGUAACUUUAAUUAUUUUAAACUUGCAUCUAAAUAGCUGAAGACAAAUGCUUCAGAACAUGACUUUCACAGUGUAAAACACUGCUGCUUAUUACAGAGUAAACCAAAUUCAGGUUGUAUUUUCCUCUUCAAUAUCUGAUCUUUUAAACUACUCACGUGCUUUACAAGCUUCAGAUAAACUACAUUUGUUAUUUGUUACCUCUAGAAACAAGAAGUCAAAUAUCUGUCCUUUCUUUGAAAGCUUUUUGUGUACUCCUUAUACAGCAUUGGCCUAUCAAGAAAGUAGUCCAGGCUUGGUUGUAGCAUUGCUUCAACAUCAUCAACAGGAAAAAAAAAAAAAACCCAACACAAAAAGCUCUUUCCUUAUUAAAAUUAAUAACAAUAACUAGCCAUCUCUGGAAAACCACAGGAAUUAGAAAUUUUAAACCAACCAGUUUGACAGCAUCCUCUAAUUUCACUGCCUUCUACACAGGCCAUUCUGACUUCACAACUCAAAUAUAUGUUUAAGGGGAAGAAAAGCACACUUCUAAACUACAAGCAAGAUUUUAAAUUAGUCAAAAGUAUUCAUAUUUUAUUCCUUUCAGUCUAUUUGUACUAUUAAAAAUACCACUGUUCCAAUUUCACAUUAAUCUAAUUUAUACAGACUUAAUAAUUGAUGCAGCACAUUUCCUUUUCAAAUAUUGUUCAUACCCCUGUCCCACAGGCUUUUCAAAAAUAUGCAUAUGGCUUAUAGUUUCCAUAAAGUCACAUGACAUACUUUAAGGAUAUCUCCUAUCAAAAAUUGAGGGCUUACUCCAAAUCUGACAGCUUACUCCAAUCUGACAGGAUCCCAAAAAACACUCCUCUAGGAAGAAUUUAAGCUUAUUAGUACUCUUUUACUAGAUUGUUCAAAAAAAAAAAAGUACCUUUUCUGCUCAAGUGUUCAUCUAUUUCUUCUCUCAUGCAACACUUGAAGUCACAGUUCUGUUUAUGAGACUGCAAUCAAUUCUUCAGUAGUCAAUUAGAGUAUCUCAAAGGUGUAGGUUUUGGUGAAUAAUAAAGCAAUCAAUUUGAGCUCCUGCAGUCUUGUUCUUAUUUUAGUAUUUCUGAUAAUUACAAAAUAAAUACUCAGAAAGCCAGUUCCUACAUCAUAUUUUAUUAGUGGGAUCAAAGGCAGACUUCUAACACAAGCACUGCUAGCUGAGUUGUCACUGUAAUACUCACUGCAGAUUAAUCAAGAACAAUUUUACCUGCACCAGUGUUCACUGCAGUUCUAGAACACAAGAGAACUCUGCCAGAAGUUUUGAUUUAUGCUGACUGUUCAGUGGCCUGCUGGGAUUCUUACUCAAGUAAGAAAUAAAAUGAAAAAAUUGUUGCCAAUGAGAAAAAAAAAUACUAUAAUUGCAAUUUUUUUUAAGGUAAUGUUUCAGAAUUUCAAACACAAAAAACACCAAAUAGAUAUUAAGAGAAAUAUUACAGAAACUUCAAAGCUAAUAUAUAAUGGAAACAUAUAUAUUAAUUAGCAUCUAAUUCUUUUCCUUUGGUACUUAAAUCUGCAGCAUUACAGUCAUUUUACCAAAAUCAGAAAUCAGACAUGUUGCUUGGUUUCCAUAACCACUUUCUCUUACUAAUCCAAAAUGUACUCCUGAACCCAUAAGAUAGAGCAUGAUCCUCACAGGUGAAUAUUUAUAGAGAAUAAUGAUGGAAUCUGGUCGCAUUUUGAUAAAAAUUGUGCUGAAAGAGUCGCCUGAUGUUCUCAAUGAAGACAGCAGCAGUACAAUUACCUUGUAGUAACUUCUUUUAACACUAAAAACUGACAUGAAAUUGUCUUCAUGAAAUCCUUUCAUUAUUCCCUGGAACAAUGCUUGAGGCAUUAUGCCUGAUUCUGUCAUUAUCACAGCUCUACAUCUUAUAAAUGUAAACCAGGAGUAGAAAGAGAGAUGGUGAAUGAUAUUAAAAUCUGCCAUUUUGAGAAUAAUGUUCCAAAACAGAUCAAAGUGCUUGGAUGAUGCCUCCCAGUUCUCGCAGCUUUCAGUAUCAGUUUAUAAUGUCACCAACAAUUUCACUGCAUAGAAUCAAAAAAAGGCAGGUCCUCCUGUUCUCCAUUUUGGCUCAUUGAGAAGAUAUAGCUCAUCAGAAUGUUGAACCCGGUCCAUUGUUUCAAUUGCUUUAAAGCUAGAAAAAGAAGCAUCCUUCCUAAAUUAUUCCUCUUUGCCUCAUGCAUUUCGGCUCUGCAUCUCUAACACUAGAAUCCCAAACUAUUUCCUCAUAUUACAUGCAGCCUGGCAGAAGCAAAAAUACAGUUAUUAUUUUCUAUGUAGUUUUCACAACACAAAAGCAUUAAAGCUGCUCUUGUGAAAAGAUAUUCUCAAAAGCAAUUUAGUUUACAGUGCUUUUCUUCCACUUCUUGUCUCCUUUCUACACUUUUUGCAGUUACCCAGCUAAAGAGGAGAACGUGCCAGCUCCAUCUAGUUCAUAGAUUACAGCUAUCCUUUGGAAGCAGAGAGCUUGAAAGGUCAGGUCCAGUAAAAUGGAGGACAGACACUGAACAGCAGAAAAUCCAAGUGAUGAAUACUACUCAGACUACUCCUCUGGCUGAGACAAGCAACCCAUUGUGCCACCGUUUGUGCCUGGGCCACCCCUGUCAUAGGAAGGCAACAAUCUGGAAAGGGAUAGCAUGAAUUAUUCUUGAAUUAAAUCCUAUUAAAGGAGAGAAAAAACACAGCACAAAGAAAUUCAGGAGGCUAAGCAAAGCCAGGAAAAAAAAAAUGAAGAUCAACACUGAAAUAUGAAUUCUGAAGUCAACAAUAUUCAACUACAUGCACUCUGUCCAGGAGAUCUAGAAUUAAGGCAAAUUCAAAGAAAUACAUGAAGAAAACAUUGGUUCCCUGUGUUAUUAACAGCUAUCCAAGGUCACUGAUCAAAUCACACAAUAGUUUAGAAAUGUAUAAAAAUGCAUUUGCAGGAGCCAAAUUUGCAGGUUGAGAAUCUGCAUUCUACACUGUGGCCUUUUUGUCAUGGAGAUAACCAACUUUUCUAAGCAUUUCUAAAAACUUCUGACUUCAUUCCCUUUGAAUAACAGGAAAUAUCUAUACACAUGAAAAGCAAUGUCCUGCCAUGAUUUAAGAACUAGAAGAG